rnacentral:lncRNA from 1 species
UUAAAAUAAAAUAAUUGAGUUGGUUUAUUAAUUUUUGGUUCAUUUUAUUUCAUCAAAUUGAAUCUCAUUUUGUCAGACAAUAAUAUCCAAGGGUAGAAUUGGCAUUGAUGAAAUUUGUAAACCCUAAAAGCUAGUAUAUAAGUUAACAUUGAGGCCAUUGCAAUUCCACCCGUCGCACCUCUCAUUGUUCUCUCUCUACCAAUCAAAAAAUAAAAAAUGUAAAAAGAAGAGAAAAAACUGAAAGAGGAAAAUGCUUUCUUCGUUG